rnacentral:rRNA from 1 species
AUACGGAGGGUGCAAGCGUUGUUCGGAAUCACUGGGCGUAAAGGGCGCGCAGGCGGUUUGGUAAGUCAGAUGUGAAAGCCCACGGCUCAACCGUGGAAGUGCAUUUGAAACUGCCAGACUUGAGUACCAGAGGGGAAAGUGGAAUUCCCGGUGUAGAGGUGAAAUUCGUAGAUAUCGGGAGGAAUACCGGUGGCGAAGGCGACUUUCUGGCUGGAUACUGACGCUGAGGCGCGAAAGCGUGGGGAGCGAACAGGAUUAGAUACCCUAGUAGUCC